rnacentral:lncRNA from 1 species
GCGUUAACAUGCAUGUAUACAAUAAAGUGAACAAAACAGAACAAUAGAAAUGAAUAUAUAAGCGUGAGUUCCAUUUAAGAGAGCUUUUGCCUUCUGUAACUGUACAGUAACGCAAAAUAAAACAUCAAGAACUAUUAUAAUAUUAUUAUCAUUGUUUGAAUCCGGUUUUUAUUUCUUUGUUUGGGAUUGGUGACGCAUGUUGUUUGGCCAUGUCAUCAAGUAUUAUAUAAAUGUUAUAAUGGGGUUAGUUUUAGUUUACAGUAUUUUUAAGAAAACAAUGUUUCACUAGAACGAUAUUUGUAAGUGGAUUUAAAAAAAACACUUGUUGAUUUGUUGCUAUAUUUCGAAAGAUUUUGAUGAAGUUCGUGUUUUUCAGUUGUGUAUUGUAUACUAUUGUUAUUUUCUGGUCUUUUGUUUUUUUGCCAGUCUAUUUUUGACUUAUGAGUUUAUAUAUCCUUUGGUAUUUUUUUACCUCUCGUUUGUAACAUCAGUGACAUGAUUUGAUUUCAGAACGGUUUUUAAACUUACAAGAUGUUAAGUGGUCGUUUAUUUUAGAAUCUGUACAGCAAUAGGAGGCAACAUAAAAGAACAAGUUUGGCCAAUAUAAUUGCAAAAUUAGAAAAAUCCUUUAAUCAAUUCAAAUAUAUAUAUAUAUAU